GGUCUGAGAGGAUGAUCAGCCACACUGGGANUGAGACACGGCCCAGACUCCUACGGGAGGCAGCAGUGGGGAAUAUUGGACAAUGGGCGAAAGCCUGAUCCAGCAAUGCCGCGUGAGUGAUGAAGGCCUUAGGGUUGUAAAGCUCUUUUACCCGGGAUGAUAAUGACAGUACCGGGAGAAUAAGCUCCGGCUAACUCCGUGCCAGCAGCCGCGGUAAUACGGAGGGAGCUAGCGUUGUUCGGAAUUACUGGGCGUAAAGCGCACGUAGGCGGCUUUGUAAGUUAGAGGUGAAAGCCCGGGGCUCAACUCCGGAACUGCCUUUAAGACUGCAUCGCUUGAAUCCAGGAGAGGUGAGUGGAAUUCCGAGUGUAGAGGUGAAAUUCGUAGAUAUUCGGAAGAACACCAGUGGC
rnacentral:rRNA from 1 species